GAUUCCCUCAGUAGCUGCGAGCGAACAGGGAAGAGCCCAGCACCGAAUCCCGCGGCCGGCAUCGGACGCCGGGAAAUGUGGUGUUCGGGAGGGUCGCCAAUCCCGAGGUCAUGCGACGCGUCCAAGUCCUUCUUGAACGGGGCCACAGCCCAUAGAGGGUGCCAGGCCCGUAGUGGCCGUCGCUGAUCGCGGGACGAUCUCUCCUUAGAGUCGGGUUGCUUGAGAGUGCAGCCCUAAGUGGGUGGUAAACUCCAUCUAAGGCUAAAUAUGACCACGAGACCGAUAGCGAACAAGUACCGUGAGGGAAAGUUGAAAAGCACUUUGAAGAGAGAGUUCAAGAGUACGUGAAACCGUUUAGGGGUAAACCUGAGAAACCCGAAAGGUCGAAGGGAGAAAUUCAUCGCGUUUCGACGUCGAGGGCUUGCGGUCGAACGACGGAAGACGUUUCGGCGUCUUCCGCGGCUUCCGCUCGCGUCCAGUCGGCGACGAACGCGUGCACUUUUCUCCUGGUAGGACGUCGCGAUCCGUCGGGUGUCGGUCUAAGGUUCGCGGUGGAGCCCGUCGACGCGACGUUUAUUCUGAACGUCGACGGACCCGCGUAACCCGACCGACUCGCUCGACGGUACACGAAAGGUCACGGGCCGCUCUAGGAGCGUUCGGUCCGCGGCAAGCGCGUCAGAAUCGUCGACCAUCGGACCCGGUGCCGGUUUCGACCUCUGACGACUGUUGGCCGCGAAUACACCUCGAACAGACCCGAAAACAACACACAUG
rnacentral:rRNA from 2 species